AGCAGCCGCGGUAAUUCCAGCUCCAAUAGCGUAUAUUAAAGUUGUUGCAGUUAAAAAGCUCGUAGUUGAAUUUCGGGAUCAGUACGCUGGUCGUGCCUUCGGUAUGAACUGGUGUCACUGGUUCCUCCCUUCUGAAGAACCGUCAUGCCAUUCAGUUGGUGUGGCGGGGAAUCAGGACUGUUACUUUGAAAAAAUUGAGUGUUUAAAGCAGGCUCGCGCUUGAAUACAUUAGCAUGGAAUAAUGAAAUAGGACGUUUGACCCUAUUUUGUUGAUUUCUAGGAUCGACGUAAUGAUUAAUAGGGAUAGUUGGGGGCAUUAGUAUUCAAUUGUCAGAGGUGAAAUUCUUGGAUUUAUUGAAGACUAACUACUGCGAAAGCAUUUGCCAAGGAUGUUUUCAUUAAUCAAGAACGAAAGUUAGGGAUCGAAGACGAUCAGAUACCGUGUAGUCUUAACCAUAAACUAUGCCGACUAGGGAUCGGAUGAUGUUAAUUUUUUAAUGACUCAUUCGGUACG
rnacentral:rRNA from 1 species